CAGUCGCCGCGGGAAUACGUAGGGUGCAAGCGUUAAUCGGAAUUACUGGGCGUAAAGCGUGCGCAGGCGGUUAUAUAAGACAGAUGUGAAAUCCCCGGGCUCAACCUGGGAACUGCAUUUGUGACUGUAUAGCUAGAGUACGGCAGAGGGGGAUGGAAUUCCGCGUGUAGCAGUGAAAUGCGUAGAUAUGCUGAGGAACACCGAUGGCGAAGGCAAUCCCCUGGGCCUGUACUGACGUUCAUGCACGAAAGCGUGGGGAGCAAACAGGAUUAGAUCCCGAGUAGUCCCUGUCUCUUAUACA
rnacentral:rRNA from 1 species